rnacentral:rRNA from 1 species
AGGGUUUGAUUAUGGCUCAGAUUGAACGCUGGCGGCAGGCUUAACACAUGCAAGUCGAACGGUAACAUAAAGAAGCUUGCUUCUUUGAUGACGAGUGGCGGACGGGUGAGUAAUGCUUGGGAAUCUAGCUUAUGGAGGGGGAUAACUACGGGAAACUGUAGCUAAUACCGCGUAAUAUCGAAAGAUUAAAGUGUGGGACCUUCGGGCCACAUGCCAUAGGAUGAGCCCAAGUGGGAUUAGGUAGUUGGUGAGGUAAAGGCUCACCAAGCCGACGAUCUCUAGCUGGUCUGAGAGGAUGACCAGCCACACUGGGACUGAGACACGGCCCAG